rnacentral:lncRNA from 10 species
CGGCGCUGGCGAAGAGCUGCUGCGCGGUGAGGCCGGCCUCGGACACGUAGCGGGUGCUGCCGCUGAUCAGGUUCAAGGAGUACAUGUGCAAGUUUUCAAGUUUUUUACCUGGUUAAUCACAAACAUCUAUAACUACCAAACACAGCUUCUGAACAGCAUUGAGUGUUUGUCAUUCUACCCUGAAAUAAUGUGAUUACAACAGAAGCAAGGCUCAACACCACAUGGAAGCUGCCGAUGCUUGGGGCUUCCACCCUCUGAAGCAACAGCCUGAGCUGUACCUUGGCCCCUUUUAGUCAAGGCUGGAGCAGCUGGGAUGAAGAUUUCUUCCAGAGCCAGUGUCACCAAAGUAUAUACUUAGAUGACAAACCAGGGGUUCCUGCCACAGUUUUGCCACUGUGCCUGCUCCUCAGCCACAUCAUUCCAUGUAGCCAUUUUAGCCAGGGCAUCAUUGACCAAGGUCUGACAAUUAUGAGAAGAAUAGAAGAUCCUGUGAAGCCAUUAUUAGCUCUUGACUCAAUGGCAACAGCCCUUUUUUCCAUUUGAACUAACGCAGUUGUAAAACCUUGGGCAAGUAGUUCAAUGUGCCUGGACCUCAGUUUCCCUCAACUAUGCAAUGCAAUUAAUAAAUCCUACCUCUCAAAAGCAGAUUGUUCUAAAUAUUUACUGAGAU